GCGGCGGUGGUGUAAUGGCGUAGAGCAUUCCCGCCCGGUCAGAAGGAGGUGCGGGUUCGAGUCUCGCCUGUCGCU
rnacentral:tRNA from 1 species